rnacentral:lncRNA from 1 species
CAAAGCCACACCUCACAUCAUCACCACAGGAGGAUUGUCUCAUGACCGUGGAGUCCUUGCAUUUAUAUAAAAAAAAUAGUCAUGAUAACUAGGAAAGGCUGUCUCUUCAGGCAUUCAACCCAGUCUGGCUAGAGAUAGAGGCUCCUGAUGUUGGCCUAUGAAAUCUUGGGGAUCAAGCCAUCCUUCCAUUUGAGCUCUGGAGUUGAUGGGCCUACCCCAGUAGGCCCCAUGCCACCAUGCCCGGCUGGUACUCAUCCAUCUCCACUUUACAAAUGAGGAGCUGAGACUCAGACAACACAGCAAGCCCAAGAUCACAGGGCCUAAAAGUGGCGGAGGUUCUCAGAUCUGAAUUGGAUAGGUCAAAGGCUACCGCACACGGACUGGGGUGAGGCUCCUCUGGUAACAUGCCUGCUGCUCAAACAUAGAAAUCUGAGUCUGAGUCCCAAGAAAUUCCCUGCCCAGUCAUCCUGUCCAAAUCAGUGCGCUCCAAGUUCAGUGGGGACCCUGUCUCAAAGAAUGAAGUGGAAAGCGACAGAGGAAUACAACCAGCAUCUAACUGUGACCAUCACACAGCUUCUCUCCUUAAUGCCUUGCCUCAAAAGGCUAGACCUGGCUGGCAUCUGCUUGAAGGGCACAGAGUCUCUCUGCAGUCAUCUCCUGUAGCUGGAAAUCAUACAGAACAAAUUGCAGAGUGCCUGGAAUAAAUAUGUGAGCAUUUCCAGGCUGUGGUGACUCUGAUGGUUAAUCUGGGUGCCUUGCUGCAGGGCAGCUCUCUGAGAUUGACGGCUCCCAGGCUGUGGAUGCUGUGUGAGCUGGCAAGCCUGUCUCCCAAGACCCAUUGGGAAGCUAAAGUGUAUAGCACUGCCUCUCAGGGCAUAUAUUAGAUAUGACUGUCAGUGGCUUCUUGGCUGCAAAGAGCCCAAUGUUAACUGUCUGGGUCUUCUAUGACAGCUUA